rnacentral:ncRNA from 2 species
AAAUGUUGCUAGGGGUGCCAAUGUGGUAUUGGCUGAGAAUAAAACGAAUGUUUUGUACCCUUAAACCUGAACUAGAUAAUGCUAGCGGAGGGAAGCGGUUUAGUGCAAAA